rnacentral:rRNA from 1 species
UAAUAGCGUAUAUUAAAGUUGUUGCAGUUAAAAAGCUCGUAGUUGGAUUUGUGGCGUACGGUGUGUUCCGGGCACUUGUUGUCUGAGUAACCUGCUGUUGCCAUCCUUGGGUGGAACCUGUGUGGCAUUAGGUUGUCGUGCAGGGGAUGCCCAUCAUUUACUGUGAAAAAAUUAGAGUGUUCAAAGCAGGCUUAUGCCGUUGAAUAUAUUAGCAUGGAAUAAUGAGAUAGGACUUUUUUGCUAUUUUGUUGGUUUGCGCAAAGAGGUAAUGAUUAAUAGGGACAGUUGGGGGUAUUCGUAUUCCAUUGUCAGAGGUGAAAUUCUUGGAUUUUUGGAAGACGAACUACUGCGAAAGCAUUUACCAAGGAUGUUUUCAUUAA